rnacentral:rRNA from 1 species
UACGGAGGAUCCGAGCGUUAUCCGGAUUUAUUGGGUUUAAAGGGUGCGUAGGCGGACGUUUAAGUCAGUGGUGAAAGUUUGCAGCUCAACUGUAAAAUUGCCAUUGAAACUGAAUGUCUUGAGUGUAAAUGAGGUAGGCGGAAUGUGUUGUGUAGCGGUGAAAUGCUUAGAUAUAACACAGAACACCAAUUGCGAAGGCAGCUUACUAGAAUACAACUGACGCUGAGGCACGAAAGCGUGGGAAUCAAACAGG